CUCCAACAUAGGAAGAACACGGAGCUGUUGGACCAAGUCCAGAGGAAGCCACAAAUUUGAUAAGGACUGGGUCACCUCACUAGUGAAGACAGGCUGAGGAUGUUGGGGCUGUUCAUCGUGGAGAGACUUCAUAGCAGCCUUCCAGUAUCUGAAGCAGGGCUACAGGGGAGCCAGAGAGGAACUCUUCAUCAGGAAUGAUGUUUUGUUGCUGCUGUUUUUAUGAGAGUUCUUGCAAAAGUGACAGCCCCACUCACAAAUGGAAAAAUUACAGAGCUGGACUACAAAUAUAUCAUUUCAAAUUGAAGAGCUAACAGAAAUCAAGUCAUCCUCUGCUGUGGCGUUCUCAGUAUCAGAACUGGGCCCAAAAAUAAUAAAUAAAAUAUGUAAGAACUGGAGAAAAUUAUGUUCUUAAAAUGUUAUCCUGUAAGAGUUUGGAGCCUUUCAGCUAUGCCAGAGGCAAACCAGUGCUGAGGUACCAUUUCAGCAGCUACAAUUCACAGUGAAGUGCCACAUCACACAUUUACCAUACUUGACAAAGCACCCAUUGCUGUCAGAUUUUGAACCAGUAAGGCCAGGGAACACAGGGUACACUUGUCCCACCUACCUAAGGCAGUUUUCUAUACAACCAGAAAUUCCUUAAGGACCUCAGGAAUUUCCUCUUUGUUCUAACUCUGAAGCAAUUGCAUUGUUACUGCUGGUGAUUGGGUCGAUCCCUUGCUUGAAUACAUCUUCUACAUGAGGCUUCUCCAUUUCACCUAAUUCUGUGCACAGAACCCAGAAUGUGUAUUAACCUCUGGAGUGGACUUGAGCAGCCUUUCAGGGGGUGGUCUCCCCUCCAAGGAAUUAACACACAACUCCCAAUUAAGCAGAGAUUCACACACUCGAUAUCCUGUAAUAUGCAAAUUAACAAAUGCAUGAAAAUAAAUGUAUUGAAAUGAACCUUACCAUAAAAAUAAACGGAGUUGUGGGAGAGGAUAAAA